AUACGGAGGGUGCGAGCGUUAAUCGGAAUUACUGGGCGUAAAGGGUGCGUAGGCGGUUUGAUAAGUCGGAUGUGAAAGCCCCGGGCUUAACCUGGGAAUGGCAUUCGAUACUGUCAGGCUAGAGUAUGUCAGAGGUUGGCGGAAUUCCUGGUGUAGCGGUGAAAUGCGUAGAUAUCAGGAGGAACACCAGUGGCGAAGGCGGCUAACUGGGGCAAUACUGACGCUGAGGCACGAAAACGUGGGGAGCAAACAGGAUUAGAAACCCUAGUAGUCC
rnacentral:rRNA from 1 species